UACGUAGGGAGCAAGCGUUGUCCGGAAUCAUUGGGCGUAAAGCGCGCGUAGGUGGCCCCAUAAGUCCGCUGUGAAAGUCAAAGGCUCAACCUUUGAAAGCCGGUGGAUACUGUGGGACUAGAGUACGGAAGAGGCGAGUGGAAUUCCUGGUGUAGCGGUGGAAUGCGCAGAUAUCAGGAGGAACACCGGUGGCGAAGGCGGGUCUCUGGGCCGUAACUGACGCUGAGGAGCGAAAGCAUGGGGAGCGAACAGG
rnacentral:rRNA from 1 species